CUCAAGCUCCGGAAGCGCCAGCUUCAUCUCGUCGUCUCCUACACCGCCGCUUUCCCAGCUCGCGUCCGUCGGCGGAGAGACCUCCGUCUCCGCAGCAGUCGCCAUCGCGCCGGCUUAAGAAGACAGAUGAACUUCAUUUGCCAAAUCCAAGACUUGCUGAAUCAACAAUUGGGAAUGAUGGUUGUGUUCUAUCAGCUGUUUGUAGAGCUGGUUAUGAAGCAUGUACAUCACUGCCGUUUUCACCUGAAGAAAGACCCAGAGUUUCACUCUGCUGUGGUAUCAGCCAACCUCACAGCAACCUUAAAUUCCUGGGUUCAAGAGAUCCUUCUUCCUCAGCCUCCUGAGUAGCUGGAACUACACAUGCACACCAUGACUCAGUUAAUUUUUCUGUUUUUAGGAGAGCUGGGGUCUCACUUUUGCUCAGGGUGGUCUUAAAUUCCUGGCUCAAACAAUCCUCCUGCCUUGGCCUCCCAUAAGUGCUAGGAUUACAGUCAUGAGCCACUGCAUGCAGCUAGUUCAAAAUUUUCAGCUAAAAAUCCCAUCUCCUAUCCCAUUUUGAAUAUUUUCCCUACUGAAAUAUCUAACAGAAGAUCAUAGGCUUGAAAUGGAGUGACGGAACACAAACAUAGAAGAGCAGAUAAAAAAAUUGAUUUUCAAGGUAUCUGUAGUGAAUUUCAAAAAGAGGGGGAAGAGAGAAAAAGAAUACAGAAUGGUUUAAGGUUUUCUCUUUCUCCAUUCCAAGGCUAGAUUCAGGCAGUAUCUCGUGUAUCAAAAUUAGACAUGUAACAUUGAAAUAUACACUAUUGUUUAUAUUGUGAAAAUAGUUAAAAUGUGUUUAGAAAAUAAAAUUUGAAUCAGACACUUGCAGAAUUUCUAAGACACCCAGGUCCUGAAAACAGAAUUUACCACUGGGAUAGUACGUACUGAACGUUCUAUAUGCCUUUUAUACUGAAAGCCAGACCUUCAGAGGGAUACACAAAUAUUCCAGCAGAGGGCAGUAAAACUUCACUAAGCAGUUUUUAAAAAACCAUAUGUUUCUCUAUUGCCUAACAAUAUUUGAAAAAUAUUCCAACAGAUUUAUAUGAACGUAAGUGUAUGUGUUUAUAUGGAGAUUGUGGGAUCCCAGUAUUACAUUUAAGCAGAACAGAAUUCUUCCCAGAGCUUCAAGGCUGUUGAAGGCUCUUGGAUAGAAAGAACCUGGGACAAUGACAAGAAGGAACCAAGGUAAGUCAGGGCCUCUUAA